rnacentral:tRNA from 2 species
GCCCGGUUAGCUCAAUCGGUAGAGCGUGAGACUCUUACGAGCACGCGAUCUCAAGGUUGCGGGUUCGACCCCCGCAUCGGGCU